AGUGAACGCUGGCGGUAGACCUAACACAUGCAAGUCGAACGGCAGCACAGUAAGAGCUUGCUCUUACGGGUGGCGAGUGGCGGACGGGUGAGGAAUACAUCGGAAUCUACUUUUUCGUGGGGGAUAACGUAGGGAAACUUACGCUAAUACCGCAUACGACCUACGGGUGAAAGCAGGGGAUCUUCGGACCUUGCGCGAUUGAAUGAGCCGAUGUCGGAUUAGCUAGUUGGCGGGGUAAAGGCCCACCAAGGCGACGAUCCGUAGCUGGUCUGAGAGGAUGAUCGGCCACACUGGAACUGAGACACGGUCCAGACUCCUACGGGAGGCAGCAGUGGGGAAUAUUGGGCAAUGGGCGCAAGCCUGAUCCAGCCAUACCGCGUGGGUGAAGAAGGCCUUCGGGUUGUAAAGCCCUUUUGUUGGGAAAGAAAAGCAGCAGGUUAAUACCCCGCUGUUCUGACGGUACCCAAAGAAUAAGCACCGGCUAACUUCGUG
rnacentral:rRNA from 1 species